AACGUAGGGGGCCAGCGUUGCUCGGAAUUACUGGGCGUAAAGGGUCCGUAGGCGGUGCGGCAAGUCGGAAGUGAAAUCUCCGGGCUUAACUCGGGGGCUGCUUCCGAAACUGCCGUGCUCGAGUGCGAGAGAGGCGGGUGGAAUUGCAGGUGUAGCGGUGAAAUGCGUAGAUAUCUGCAGGAACAUCCGAGGCGAAAGCGGCCCGCUGGAUCGCAACUGACGCUGAGGGACGAAAGCUAGGGGAGCAAACAGG
rnacentral:rRNA from 1 species